UACGGAGGGGGCUAGCGUUGUCCGGAAUCACUGGGCGUAAAGCGCGCGCAGGCGGUCAUCUACGUCUGGGGUGAAAGCCCGGAGCUCAACUCCGGGAUUGCCUUGGAUACGGGAUGACUUGAGGAUCGGAGAGGCAAGGGGAAUUCCACGUGUAGCGGUGAAAUGCGUAGAGAUGUGGAGGAACACCUGUGGCGAAGGCGCCUUGCUGGCCGAUUUCUGACGCUGAGGCGCGAAAGCGUGGGGAGCAAACAGG
rnacentral:rRNA from 1 species